rnacentral:misc_RNA from 1 species
UGGUUCUGGCAUCGAUGAAGAACGCAGCGAAAUGCGAUAAGUAAUGUGAAUUGCAGAAUUCAGUGAAUCAUCGAAUCUUUGAACGCACAUUGCGCCCAUUAGUAUUCUAGUGGGCAUGCCUGUUCGAGCGUCAUUUCAACCCUUAAGCCUAGCUUAGUGUUGGGAGACUGCCUAAUACGCAGCUCCUCAAAACCAGUGGCGGAGUCUGUUUGUGCUCUGAGCGUAGUAAUUUUUUAUCUCGCUUCUGCAAGCCCCAUAGACGACAGCCAUAAACCGCACCCUCACGGGGCACUUUUUUAAUGGUUGACCUCGGAUCAGGUAGGAAUACCCGCUGA